AUUGAACGCUGGCGGCAGGCCUAACACAUGCAAGUCGAACGAGUGGCGGACGGGUGAGUCAUGUCUGUGAAACUGCCUGAUGGAGGGGGAUAACUACUGGACACGGUAGCUAAUACCGCAUACCAUCGGAUGUGCCCAGAUGGGAUUAGCUAGUAGGUGGGGUAAAGGCUCACCUAGGCGACGAUCCCUAGCUGGUCUGAGAGGAUGACCAGCCACACUGGAACUGAGACACGGUCCAGAACCCUACGGGAGGGAGCAGGGGGGAAUAUUGGACAAUGGGCGAAAGCCUGAUGCAGCCAUGCCGCGUGUAUGAAGAAGGCCUUCGGGUUGUAAAGUACUUUCAGCGGGGAGGCGUUACCCGCAGAAGAAGCACCGGCUAACUCCGUGCCAGCAGCCGCGGUAAUAC
rnacentral:rRNA from 1 species